AGAACGAACGCUGGCGGCGUGCCUAACACAUGCAAGUCGUGCGAGAAAAGGGGGGCAACUCCCUGAGUACAGCGGCGCACGGGUGAGUAACGCGUGGAUAUCUGCCUUUUGGUUCGGAAUAACCCCGGGAAACUGGGGCUAAUACCGGAUGGUUCCUACGGGAUAAAGAUUUAUCGCCAAAAGAUGAGUCCGCGUCCGAUUAGCUAGUUGGUGAGGUAACGGCUCACCAAGGCGACGAUCGGUAGCUGGUCUGAGAGGACGAUCAGCCACACUGGGACUGAGACACGGCCCAGACUCCUACGGGAGGCAGCAGUGGGAAUAUUGGACAAUGGGGGCAACCCUGAUCCAGCCAUGCCGCGUGAGUGAUGAAGGCCUUCGGGUUGUAAAGCUCUUUUGGCGGGGACGAUGAUGACGGUACCCGCAGAAUAACGCCCGGCUAACUUCGCGCCAGCAGCCGC
rnacentral:rRNA from 1 species